rnacentral:rRNA from 1 species
GACGAACGCUGGCGGCGUGCUUAACACAUGCAAGUCGAACGGAAAGGCCCGGCUUUUGUUGGUUGCUCGAGUGGCGAACGGGUGAGUAACACGUGAGUAACCUGCCCUUGACUUUGUGAUAACUUCAGGAAACUGGGGCUAAUACCGGAUAGGAUCUCCUGCUGCGUGGGGGGGGUUGGAAAGUGUCGGCGGUUGUGGAUGGACUCGAGGCUUAUCAGCUUGUUUGUCGGGUAGUGGCGUCCCAAGGCUUUGACGGGUAGCCGGCCUGGGAGGGUGACCGGCCACCUUGGGACUGAGAUACGGACCAGAAUCCUACGGGAGGCAGCAGUGGAGAAUAUUGCACAAUGGGCGGAAGCGUGAUGCAGAAACGCUGCGUGCGGGAUGACGGCCUUCGGGUUGUAAACCGAUUUGGACUGUGCCGAAGCGUGAGUGACGGUAAUGGGUAAAGAAGCCACGGCUAACUACGUG